rnacentral:misc_RNA from 1 species
AAGUCGUAACAAGGUUUCCGUAGGUGAACCUGCGGAAGGAUCAUUAACAGUGUCAAGUACCCAUCCUGUUGCACAUGCAUACCGUCAGGUAUGCAUUAUUGCUGGCUCGCUUCCGCUCGGAGAGCGGCAUGCAAACCGCUCUGAGCGACUGUUGCGACCGAGCGGAGCGAGCCAGCAAAAAAAGAUGAUGAAUGAGAAUAUAUGAGAAGAGAAACAACGAAAAACAACUUUCAACAAUGGAUCUCUUGGCUCUU